UGCCAGCAGCCGCGGUAAUACGGAGGGUCCUAGCGUUGUUCGGAAUGACUGGGCGUAAAGGGUACGUAGGCGGUUUGGUCAGUUAGAUGUGAAAGCCCGGGCUUAACCUGGGAACUGCCUUCAAAACUGGCAAGCUCGAGACCGGGAGAGGUAAGCGGAAUUUCCAGUGUAGAGGUGAAAUUCGUAGAUAUUGGAAAGAACACCAGUGGCGAAGGCGGCUUACUGGACCGGAUCUGACGCUGAGGCGCGAAAGCGUGGGGAGCAAACAGGAUUAGAUA
rnacentral:rRNA from 1 species